ACGGGUGAGUAAUGCCUAGGAAUCUGCCUGGUAGUGGGGGAUAACGUUCGGAAACGGACGCUAAUACCGCAUACGUCCUACGGGAGAAAGCAGGGGACCUUCGGGCCUUGCGCUAUCAGAUGAGCCUAGGUCGGAUUAGCUAGUUGGUGAGGUAAUGGCUCACCAAGGCAACGAUCCGUAACUGGUCUGAGAGGAUGAUCAGUCACACUGGAACUGAGACACGGUCCAGACUCCUACGGGAGGCAGCAGUGGGGAAUAUCGGACAAUGGGCGAAAGCCUGAUCCAGCCAUGCCGCGUGUGUGAAGAAGGUCUUCGGAUUGUAAAGCACUUUAAGUUGGGAGGAAGGGCAUUAACCUAAUACGUUAGUGUUUUGACGUUACCGACAGAAUAAGCACCGGCUAACUCUGUGCCAGCAGCCGCGGUAAUACAGAGGGUGCAAGCGUUAAUCGGAAUUACUGGGCGUAAAGCGCGCGUAGGUGGUUUGUUAAGUUGGAUGUGAAAUCCCCGGGCUCAACCUGGGAACUGCAUUCAAAACUGACUGACUAGAGUGUGGUAGAGGGUGGUGGAAUUUCCUGUGUAGCGGUGAA
rnacentral:rRNA from 1 species